GGCUCAGAACGAACGCUGGCGGCAGGCUUAACACAUGCAAGUCGAGCGCCCCGCAAGGGGAGCGGCAGACGGGUGAGUAACGCGUGGGAAUCUACCCUUGACUACGGAAUAACGCAGGGAAACUUGUGCUAAUACCGUAUGUGUCCUUCGGGAGAAAGAUUUAUCGGUCAAGGAUGAGCCCGCGUUGGAUUAGCUAGUUGGUGGGGUAAAGGCCUACCAAGGCGACGAUCCAUAGCUGGUCUGAGAGGAUGAUCAGCCACAUUGGGACUGAGACACGGCCCAAACUCCUACGGGAGGCAGCAGUGGGGAAUAUUGGACAAUGGGCGCAAGCCUGAUCCAGCCAUGCCGCGKGAGUGAUGAAGGCCCUAGGGUUGUAAAGCUCUUUCACCGGAGAAGAUAAUGAC
rnacentral:rRNA from 1 species